rfam:Drosophila pseudoobscura pseudoobscura strain MV2-25 unplaced genomic scaffold Tnknown_singleton_3471, whole genome shotgun sequence.
AAUCAUGAAUUGUGCAUGCUAGUGGGGUUUGGCCUCCACUAGUAUCUUUGAAGAUUUUCCUUCCUCAGCGAUC